UCCUGACAUUGAGACGAAAACAAAAUCCAGAAGACCCUGCGGCCUGCCAGGACCAGGAAUGGAGGUCACUGCUCUAAUAUGUAGCCCAGGGCUGACCAACCCUGUUUCUAAAGAUCUACCGUCCAGCAGGGUUUCAUUUCAACCCUAAUUUGGCACACCUGAUCCUACUAAUUAGUAGCAGCUCAAAAAAAACCUCUAGCUGUUGAAUGAGGUGUGCUUUGUUAGGGUUAGAGUGACCCACAGGAUGGUAGAGCUCCAGGAACAGGGUUGCUUACCACCACUCUAGAGCACGGAUACUCAAAUGGCCCUGGUUUUCUUUCCCCCCAGCGACACGUCGCGACCCAGUGGCUCCGCCGAGCCGAACUGAUGCUGGGUCGGCUUCCCGCCGUCUCCGUCCAACAAAGGAGAGCUGACGCGGGGCGGCGGAACACAGACCCUGGGGUACGGUACCUCCGACUGCAGUCCGCCCCGCGUGGAUCUCUUCAAAUGAAAAGCAGGUAUUUCGGGAUCCGUUCCUUGCGGGGGGGAACGCAGGGGGGGCCGCGCGCUACCCAGCGAGGACCGCGCACUUUAACACACCGCCACGGUUCAGGCGCCCAGCCCUCGGCGCCUCUCUGCCGGGGUUUUGUGCUCAGCUUCACAGCCGAACCGCCUCGCACGCACUGUUCACAUGGACUAACAGUCUGAAACUUUGGCUUUUCAAUGACCUGAACUACGGGACAUAUGUAUUUUUGGUACCAUUUCGACAUUUCCGGGUUCUGACAAGCACUUUGUCCCCUUUGAGGCAAAAGUAGAGUCCUGCUUAGGUACUAUCCUGCCAAAAUGGCCACACAAAAUGUCCUGAGGAGCUGAGCCUGUAAAAAGAUCCAAUAAAUAAUUCCUCUUACUUC